rnacentral:lncRNA from 1 species
UCUUUAAUUAGAUUAGACCUAAGGUUAGAAUCAAAGAAUUGAUUGACUAUGUAAAGAAAUUGAUUAAGUCUAACCAAAUAUUAAAUUAGAUUAAUUAAGAUUUCUCUAAUACAAUAAUUAUAAACGGUCAAAUCCAUAUCUUUGAUUAGACCAAAUAGACCUUGAUUGUGGCUCAGUGGUUGAACCCAAAUCAUUAAGUUGGUCAAAUCAAAACUAGCUAAUCAAUUAAUGUCUAAAGUAAGUUUGGCAUUUUGAUCGAUGGUUUUUAAUUGGGAGUGACUUACCUGACCAUUUUAAUAGUGUCUAAGGCAAGCUUAGCAGACCCUCCCAUCAAUCUCACUUACCUGAUCAAUUUGAUGAAUUAAAUUUUGAUUAGAUCGCUAAGUGAUUUGAGUUAGCCCAUGCCAUUAAGGUUAAUCAGUAUGACUGAUUUAGGUGCUCUGGACCAACUUGUCUCGAGUCCUUCUCAUGACUUGAUGAAGUCAGUGGGAGGAUUUACAACAUACCGGUUGGACCCAAUAGUCACUAGUCUUUUUCAUGACUUGAUAAAGUCAGUGGAAGGAUUUAUGACUUAUAGGUCGAUGGAUAUCUUCUAAAAGAUUUAAUUUAAAUCUUCUAAAUUGUUAGGUCUCUAAAAUGAGCUGGUUAUGGUAAUAACUAGAUCAUAGCCUCCCAUUAAGGUGAAUGAUAAUGGAUCCAUUAUUUCUGAUUGACAUUGCAGGUGCCAUCCGUCUGGUGUUCUCUCUGAAUAAUUAAAUUAUCAUUCAUCAAUGAUGACCCUGUUGAACUAUCUGAUGAAUGGUUGGGUUGAUCGAGCCAUCCUCGAGUCUGAUCAUUCUUUGGCUAGAAUCAUUGAGUAGGUUCAUGUUAAUGGUUGGACCUAACCAAGACUUUCAAUGGAGGCCCAUCGCCUACUGAAAUAAAAUCUGAGGUUAAAUUAAAUACCAGAAGUUAUUUGAAGAAACAAUUGAUUGAGAACUUACCCAUAGGUGCAUAUGGGUUGACCGAGCUAUCCUCAGGCUUAUAUGCAAUUUGUGUGGAUUCUAGUACCUACUAAGGAAUUAAGGUAAUUCUUCAGAUUGGAGGUAGAGGCUACCAAUUCGUAUAAAAUAGUAGGAGCACCUUUAGACUAAAGUCUAAGUCUUUAGGCUUAAAAUAAUUCAUAUACUAAUAGAUCAAUUAUUUUCUUUUCAGAAAUGACUAGAAUAUUAUUGUUCUGUUCACUGUUAGACAGUGACAAUAUUAUCAAACCUAACCUUGAUAGCCAGUAUUAAAAGUUAAGUAUAGUUUUGAGCGAAUUGAUCAAAAAGUCUCAGACUAACCCAAACAGACUUAAAAGAAAAAUCAGCAAAUGGUUGCUGGUCAAGAUAGUUAUAUGAUAACUUCUUAAAAUUUUUCUAUUGGUAAUACUAUUAUCUGGGUAUAAGAUAUCGAUAGUACAAGUCAUGUUUCCAAAUAGUUGCAAAAGACUUCAGGAUAGUAGAAGAUUUGAAAAUAAUAAGAGACUCCUGAAUGUAAGAAAUGGAAGUCUGUUCCAGUCUUAGCAUUAAGAAUCGUCAAGCUUGUUUUCAAUUUUGAAGAUGUCAUUUUAAGUAAUUAUCACUAUUGUCUCAUCUUAUUGAUGAUGUCAAUAAGUAUGAUUAUUGUGAUAUCAUUGUGAAUGAUACUACAAUAAUUAAUGGACAAUUGAAAAUGACAUAAACUCAGUAACAUAGCCUGUUAGUGUAAUGUACACGUCUGACUAGCACCCU